rnacentral:rRNA from 1 species
AAACUUGAGCUAAUACCGGAUACGCCCUUAGGGGGAAAGAUUUAUUGCCGAAGGAUUGGCCCGCGUCCGAUUAGCUAGUUGGUGAGGUAAUGGCUCACCAAGGCGACUGAUCAGGUAGCUGGUCUGAGAGGAUGAUCAGCCACAUUGGGACUGAGACACGGCCCAGACUCCUACGGGAGGCAGCAGUGGGAAAUAUUGGACAAUGGGCGCAAGCCUGAUCCAGCCAUGCCGCGUGAGUGAUGAAGGCCCUAGGGUUGUAAAGCUCUUUCGCCAGGGACGAUAAUGGCGGUACCUGGAUAAGAAGCCCCGGCUAACUUC